rnacentral:rRNA from 1 species
GACUACAGGGGUAUCUAAGCCUGUUUGCUCCCCACGCUUUCGUGCCUCAGUGUCAGUUACAGUCCAGAAAGCCGCCUUCGCCACUGGUGUUCCUCCUAAUAUCUACGCAUUUCACCGCUACACUAGGAAUUCCGCUUUCCUCUCCUGCACUCAAGUAGCCCAGUUCGCAAGGCGAACAAUGGUUGAGCCAUUGCCUUAAACCCUGCGCUUAGGUAACCACCUACGCACUCUUUACGCCCAAUAAUUCCGGAUAACGCUCGCCCCCUACGUAUUACCGCGGCUGCUGGCACGUAGUUAGCCGGGGCUUCCUCCAUGGGUACCGUCAUUUUUUUCUUCCCCAAGGACAGAAGUUUACGACCCGAAAGCCUUCAUCCUUCACGCGGCGUUGCUGCAUCAGGCUUUCGCCCAUUGUGCAAUAUUCCCCACUGCAGCCGCCCGUAGG